rnacentral:rRNA from 1 species
UACGAAGGGGGCUAGCGUUGUUCGGAAUUACUGGGCGUAAAGCGCACGUAGGCGGAUAUUUAAGUCAGGGGUGAAAUCCCGGGGCUCAACCCCGGAACUGCCUUUGAUACUGGGUAUCUCGAGUCCGAGAGAGGUGAGUGGAAUUCCGAGUGUAGAGGUGAAAUUCGUAGAUAUUCGGAGGAACACCAGUGGCGAAGGCGGCUCACUGGCGCGGUACUGACGCUGAGGUGCGAAAGCGUGGGGAGCGAACAGG